rnacentral:misc_RNA from 1 species
ACAUAAUUUUCUUCAACAAAUAAACAAAGAACACCAAAAACAAAAACAAAUAACUCACCUUUUGCAAAAUAUGGAUUUAAAUUGCUCUUCUUCACUUUAAAUAAGACUUCACUAAUUAAUGAUCUUAGCUCAAAAAGUGAAAGAUUUGUAAAAAGAUAGAACAUUUUGGAUGAAAAGUAGAGAGAAAGCGAGAAAUAGAAGAGGAAACCCCUAGAAGCUAGAACAAAAGAUUGAAAUGUGCUAUUUGCCCUCUCUCCCUCUAUGGAAAAAACAUAGAAAAAGGAAUACCAUGUAACAGUUGUUACUUAAUAGUAAAUACCGGCGAUAAUGGCUAUUGCGCAC